AUCCUGGUGGUCUAGUGGUUAAGAUUCAGCACUCUCAUUGCUGUGGCCUGGGUUCAUUCCCUGUCAGGGAA
rnacentral:tRNA from 1 species